rnacentral:rRNA from 1 species
UCCAGACUCCUACGGGAGGCAGCAGUGGGGGAUAUUGCACAAUGGGGGGAACCCUGAUGCAGCGACGCCGCGUGGGUGAAGGAGCGUUUCGGCGCGUAAAGCCCUAUCGGCAGGGAAGAAGGAGGACGGUACCUGACUAAGAAGCCCCGGCUAACUACGUGCCAGCAGCCGCGGUAAUACGUAGGGGGCAAGAGUUAUCCGGAUUUACUGGGUGUAAAGGGGGCGCAGACGGCAGCGCAAGCCAGGAGUGAAAGCCCGGGGCCCAACCCCGGGACUGCUCUUGGAACUGCGCGGCUGGAGUGCAGGAGGGGCAGGCGGAAUUCCUGGUGUAGCGGUGAAAUGCGUAGAUAUCAGGAGGAACACCGGUGGCGAAGGCGGCCUGCUGGACUGCGACUGACGUUGAGGCCCGAAAGCGUGGGGAGCAAACAGGAUUAGAUACCCUAGUA